GUGCAGUAGAUGAUGAGAUCAUAGUUCAGCAGAUUUUCAUGAAGACUCCACAAAUGUCUUUCGUUCCUAGCUGAUACUCACU